rnacentral:rRNA from 1 species
UACGAAGGGUGCAAACGUUGCUCGGAAUUAUUGGGCGUAAAGCGCACGUAGGCGGCUUUUCAAGUCCCAUGUGAAAUCCCACGGCUUAACCGUGGAAGUGCAUGGGAAACUGGAAGCUUGAGUACUUAAGAGGAUCGCGGAAUUCCCGGUGUAGAGGUGAAAUUCGUAGAUAUCGGGAGGAACACCAGUGGCGAAGGCGGCGAUCUGGGAAGAGUACUGACGCUGAGGUGCGAAAGCGUGGGGAGCGAACAGG